rnacentral:tmRNA from 1 species
GGGGGCGUUUAUGGAUUCGACGGGGGUAGUUCGAGCAUGGGUUGCGGGUAGUGGGGAGCGUCCGCUUCAUCAACGCUAAAGCCAAUUAACUGGCAAACAACAAACUUCUUACGCUGUAGCAGCUUAAUAACCUGCUCGCGUGCUCUCGCUCUGUAUCGCCCAUGUACCGGGAUGAGGGCCCAACUUUAGUGGGAUACGCUGUCACAUCUCCGCCUGGGGUGUGCUGAAGAAGACAAUCAGGCUGACCUAGAUCGAAGCCGGUUACGGGGCGUUGACCUAGGUGACAUCAAAUCCGUGACUACACCCGUAGAAGCCUGUGUGGCGUUAUCUUCGGACAGGGGUUCAAAUCCCCUCGCCUCCACCA